rnacentral:rRNA from 1 species
UACGUAGGGGGCAAGCGUUGUCCGGAUUUAUUGGGCGUAAAGAGCGUGUAGGCGGUUUGGUAGGUCCGUUGUGAAAACUCGAGGCUCAACCUCGAGACGCCGGCGGAAACCAUCAGGCUAGAGUCCGGAAAAGGAGAGUGGAAUUCCUGGUGUAGCGGUGAAAUGCGCAGAUAUCAGGAAGAACACCCGUGGCUAAGGCGGCUCUCUAGUACGGUACUGACGCUGAGACGCGAAAGCGUGGGGAGCGAACAGG